UACGUAGGGUGCGAGCGUUGUCCGGAAUUAUUGGGCGUAAAGAGCUUGUAGGCGGUCUGACGCGUCUGCUGUGAAAAUCCUGGGCUCAACCCCGGACUUGCAGUGGGUACGGGCAGACUAGAGUGUGGUAGGGGAGACUGGAAUUCCUGGUGUAGCGGUGAAAUGCGGAGAUAUCAGGAGGAACACCGAUGGCGAAGGCAGGUCUCUGGGCCACUACUGACGCUGAGAAGCGAAAGCAUGGGGAGCGAACAGG
rnacentral:rRNA from 1 species